CCAAUAGCGUAUAUUAAAGUUGUUGCAGUUAAAAAGCUCGUAGUUGAAUUUCGGAAUCAAUUUGUUGGUCGUGCCUCGGUACGUACUGGUAUUAUUGGUUUCUACCUUCUGAAGAACCUUGAUGUCAUUAAUUUGGUGUCUUGGGGAAUCAGGACUGUUACUUUGAAAAAAUUAGAGUGUUUAAAGCAAGCAUACGCUUGAAUACAUUAGCAUGGAAUAAUGAAAUAGGACGUUUGAUUCCAUUUUGUUGGUUUCUAGGAUCGACGUAAUGAUUAAUAGGGAUAGUUGGGGGCGUUUGUAUUCAAUUGUCAGAGGUGAAAUUCUUGGAUUUAUUGAAGACUAACUACUGCGAAAGCAUUUGCCAAGGAUGUUUUCAUUAAUCAAGAACGAAAGUUAGGGGAUCGAAGACGAUCAGAUACCGUCGUAGUCUUAACCAUAAACUAUGCCGACUAGGGAUCGGAUGAUGUUAAUUUUUUAAUGACUCAUUCGGCGCCUUACG
rnacentral:rRNA from 1 species